rnacentral:lncRNA from 1 species
AUGACUACUAAGUGCUGGGAAAUAAUAUGUGGAUCUACUUUGAUUGCUUUUCUUCCAACAUGUGGAAUUAUUACAACUGAGCAUUCUCCAGAUUUAUCUUCCUCCAACUUACUUUUGUCAUUUACGAUUUUCUCAGCAUGCUUUUCUGUCUUUUCGAUGUUACAACGUCCAGAUCUCCAAAGAUACCCAUAUAUGAACUCAUUGAGGUCGUCUUAUCCAAUGGAACUUUUUGAAUGGAAUUUUUCAAAUAGGUCAACUACUACAUCUUCCAAAAAUGCAGCUGAAAAGAGAAGCCUGUGCUGUUUCUUUACUAGAUUUAGUAAACUACAGAGGUACAAUCAUAAUCAGAUAUGUAACUGGAGGAUGAUUCUUCACCGUGUAAAAAUGGUCGUAAAUGAAGUCUGGCCAUGUCCUCCCAUGGUCCUGUGUCACACGGAUCACACCAAAUCAUCCUGCUGCAGACAGUCAGGUCUGCCCAUGCCCUCCUGAGGACCUGAGCCACAGAGAACAGGCCGAAUCAGCCCACUGCACACAGGCAGGUGUGCCCAUGCCCUGGUGAUGUCCUGAGUCGCACAGAACACGCCGAAUCAGCCCUCUGCAGACAGGCAGGUCUGCCCAUGCCCUGCCGAGUUCCUGAGUCAUGCAGAAUACACCAAAUCACCCCGCUGCAGACAGGCAGGUCUGCCCAUGCUCUGUCGAGGUCCUGAGUCACACAGAACACCCUGAAUCAGCCCGCUGCAGACAGGCAGGUCUGUGCACACCCUACCGAGGUCCUGAUUUGCACAGAACAUGCCGAUUCAGCCCGCUGCACACAGGUCUACCCAUGCCCUACGGAGGUCCUGAAUCGCAGAGAACACGCCGAAUCAGCCCGCUGCAAACAGGUCUGUGCACGCCCUACCGAGGUCCUGAGUCGCACGGAAGAUACGGAAUCACCCCGCUGUAGACAGGCAGCCACCUGGUUCCACAGUACAAAGACGCAGAGGACACCAGACCACCAGACCAAAGUACUGAGUUCCUCUCUUCCCAGCCCACAGGUAGGGGCUUGUGAGCCGUAGUCUCACUGCUUCUGGUCCAGAGGAUGGGGCUUCCCAGUCACCAUCCCUCCCGCUGUUCCCAGCCCAGAGGAAAGGGCUUUUGGGCCACCUUCUGUCCCGCUGCUCCUGGCCCAGAGGAAGGGGCUUCCAGACCACCAUCCCUCCCACUACUCCUGGCCAUUAAAAGCAUCAUACCACAGUGAUGUAUGUGUGCCCAUGUUCAUAGCAGCACAGUUUCCAAUGGCUAAAACUUAGAAACAGCCCAAAUGCCCAUCAACUGGAGACUGGAUAAAGAAAAUGUGGUUUUUUAAUAAAAUGGAGUACUACUCAGCCAUAAAAAAUGAGAAAUUAGAGACAUUUAUAGCUAAGUGGAUGCACAUUGAGGCAAUACUCUUAAGCAAAAUAAAUAGGACACACAUGUGUAAAUACAGAAUAGUUUCUCUGGUGUGAGAAACUGAAAGUGUAAAUAAGGACUAAAUGAAUAAUAGGUAAUGUGAAAUAGGAAGAAAAGGGGCAAAGGGGAAGGAAGUGGGAGGGCUAGGGGAAAGGAUAGAAGGGAAUGGGAUUAAUACGAGAAAAUGAAAAAAUGGAAACAAAGUCUUUGUAAAUAGGGAAGGGUGGAGGGGGUGAAGGGAGGGCUAGGAAUGGGGAAAAAAUAAGAACCAAAAUGCAUUAUGUAAAGGUACAAUUCCCAAUGAGAAAUGUAAUUGUGUUGUAUACCUACAAUGUACCAAUAAAAGAAUUUAAUACAAAAAAAAAGAAUGUCACCUCAAAAACUAAAAGUAUUCUAAAAUGUGCCUAAAAUACAGAAAUGUGCAAGUGCAAGGUCCCAAAUUAUUCAAUCCCCAUUACAAAAAAAAAAAAAAACCAAUUAGCAAAUGUAGUAGGAUUUUUUUUACAUUGAAACAAAUUCAUUUUUAAUCUACCUGUUGGUUACAUUUUUAAAAAUCUAAGUUUUUGACUCAUCAGCUAUCUUCAUAAUUCAACCAGCUCUUUUGCACUUUAUUUUUCUCCAACUCAAAAUUUCUACCACUUUGGCUAUUUUUCCAGAAAAUUCAACUAAUUUCAAUAUAUAUAUCUGAAAAGAUUCUUGCAUUAUGCCAAAGAUAAAUAUAAUUUUAUAAAUUACUAUAUGUUAAAAAUUACUUUCAAACUGUAAUACUCAUGAAGUUACUUUUAUGUUCUACAGGUCAAGUUUGUUAUUUGUUUGUUUUUGUUCUGUUUUGGCUUUUUUGUUCUCAGCAUCUAUUUUUAUUUGUCAUGAUUAUAUACAUGAAUGGCUUGAAGAAGUGUUUAUAAAAUGCCUAUAUCUACAUAGGGAAGGGAAAGGAAAUAUGUAUACUUGGUGUCUUAUUAGACCUAUUCAUUGUCUAACAACAAAAUAUGCAAAAGAAAAAUUAAACAUUCUCCAAAAUAUGUUACCAUUUGCUUAAUAUGUUUGAAUUCACAUACAUGCUGUCAUUUACAGUUAUGUUCCAGAAGCUUUAGUUGUUCUGCCUAUCAGUUUACCUUGGAAAAGUUUCAUGAGAGGUGACAUUUUGAGGAAACUCUUUAAAAAGUUUUACUGGACAUAAUUCACCCAAUUAAAACGUGUAAUCUCAUGGUUUUUAGUUUUUUUGAAGAGUGUGCAACCAUCACCACAACUAAUUUCACCACUUGAACCAUUCAAAAAGAAUAUUCUCUACUAUCGGUAGCCAUUCCCUAUUUCUCUCUA